rnacentral:rRNA from 1 species
AGCAGUCGCCGCGGUAAUACGUAGGUGGCAAGCGUUAUCCGGAAUUAUUGGGCGUAAAGCGCGCGUAGGCGGUUUUUUAAGUCUGAUGUGAAAGCCCACGGCUCAACCGUGGAGGGUCAUUGGAAACUGGAAAACUUGAGUGCAGAAGAGGAAAGUGGAAUUCCAUGUGUAGCGGUGAAAUGCGCAGAGAUAUGGAGGAACACCAGUGGCGAAGGCGACUUUCUGGUCUGUAACUGACGCUGAUGUGCGAAAGCGUGGGGAUCAAACAGGAUUAGAUACCCCGGUAGUCCCUGUCUCUUAUAA